UCUGCUGUGUUGUGCAACAUGUAGCAAGUGCUGUGGUUACAGUAUUGGGAAGUUUUUUUUUUUUUUUUUUUUAUAUAAUUAUUAUUAUUGUUGUUGUAAUGUAGGCUUCCUAUAAAAUAUUAAUAUAAAAUAUUUUUGUACAAAAAAAAUAUUUGCCAAUGGAAUAUUUCACCCGCAUAGAUUAAUAGCCUGCACGUGAGAUCUUCCUUCGCGCCAGCGGUCGUUGUCAUGACAACGAGUCUCGCCAGCAGCUGAUAACUGUUAACGGUAAAUCAGCGUCUUUUCCGUAUUGUCUACCGCAGGAUGAAUAUAAAAGUAUAAAAUAGCCUACGUUAUGGUUUGACAACAUCAUUAAUAUGUGAACUAUCACAAUUAAAUCACAAAGACAUAACAACAUUACACCCCAAGACCGUUCACAAGUGUGAGAAAAAAGAAGAAAGGGAAGUCUGGAAGAGAAGUUCAUCAGGCGAGUUGAAGUGUUGACUUUGUCGAGUCAUACAGUUUAGCGGUGAGUAUAAUGUCUAAUGUCCUUAUAUCUUUAGUUAUAAUUUUAGAGAGAUGUAAACCGUAGACUUCACGGAUAUCUUAUUCAGCCAGCUGAGAUCUGUACUCCUCUGUAGCGUGAGCUUACUAUAGCACAGAAGACACAGAACACAAGUCUGAUAGAAGACAAAACAACUGGUUUAAUGCUGUUUUUACUACACUUUUACUAUAAUAAAUUAUAAUUGUAUUAUAAAAUCUUAAUCUAAUCUAAUAAAACAUCAACAUCUCAAUCCAACCAGUGACAUAACCAAGAUGCAUUUAAUUAUGCUAUGACUCAGCAAUUUAGUUAUAAGCAGAUCUGUAGAAAUGAAUCAUGUCAUUGUCCAGCUCAGUUCAGUUCUCAUUCCAAUAGCAUCAGUACAUUUAUAAUAAUGGAAUGAACAAAAUUGCACUGAAUAUAUUGUUUGUUUAUUUCUAGGAGAGCGUCAACCCAUUGAAAAGUGUACAGUUUGCAACAGAAAGCAUUAGGAGAGAGGAGAAGAGAGACGGUGAAAAGGCACUCAACAGAUGUUGGAAAAUGCACUGGUGACAACUAAAAAAAGAAGACCAAAAAUAUAAUUCAACAGAAGAUGAUGGCUGUGGAUGAUAGCACUCAAAUAACGGAACUAAGACCUGUGGGAGUGCUGGAGAAAUCAAGUGUACAAGUCCUCUGUCUCCUCAGCCAUAAAUGCAUGUUAUUUUGCAAGGGGUAGUUGCAUGGACUAUCAGUGGAGGGUCAGAAAGCUCUGAGAUUUCAUUAUAAAGAUCUUAAUUUGUGUUCUGAAGAUGAACAAAAGACUUGUGGGUUUGGAACGACAUGAGGACUACAUCCAAAAUAGUGUUUCCACAUCUAAGAUAAAGUCAGUCAUAAGACCCAAGCGGAACGAUGAGGAUAAGCUCUUCAAAAAAUGAAACCUGCCUGAAUAAUGAGGAAAGAAAUGUGCAUGAUUUGUAAAUAAACACUGAGUACAUUAAGUGUAACUCUCAACCUGUUAUUUUAAGUUUAAAGAAAAGUAAAAUCAUUUAUUGUUGCAUUGCUGUUUGAGACAUUCACUAUUGUUUUGUACCUUAAUUCAUUAUAUUGC